CAAUAGCGUAUAUUAAAGUUGUUGCAGUUAAAAAGCUCGUAGUUGGAUUUGUGGCGUACGGUGGGUUCCGGGCACUUGUUGUCUGAGUAACUUGCUGUUGCCAUCCUUGGGUGGAACCUGUGUGGCAUUAGGUUGUCGUGCAGGGGAUGCCCAUCAUUUACUGUGAAAAAAUUAGAGUGUUCAAAGCAGGCUUAUGCCGUUGAAUAUAUUAGCAUGGAAUAAUGAGAUAGGACUUUUUUGCUAUUUUGUUGGUUUGCGCAAAGAGGUAAUGAUUAAUAGGGACAGUUGGGGGUAUUCGUAUUCCAUUGUCAGAGGUGAAAUUCUUGGAUUCUUGGAAGACGAACUACUGCGAAAGCAUUUACCAAGGAUGUUUUCAUUAAU
rnacentral:rRNA from 1 species